GCCUGAGUGGCUUAGUCGGUUAGGUGUCUGACUUUGGCUCAGGUCAUGAUCUCACGGUCCGUGAGUUCGAGCCCCGCGUCGGGCU
rfam:Felis catus isolate Cinnamon breed Abyssinian chromosome A2, whole genome shotgun sequence.